AUGAAUUUUAGUGAGAAUAAUUGCUGUGGGAACGAUCUCAUUAGAGAGCUCAUCAAGAAAAAAGACAACAUGAACCAAAAAUUUUACUCUUUUUCCCCUGACCAUACAGAUGAAAAUACACAGCCACAGAAGGGUCAUGUCUUAAUCCCUGGCAAAUGGUGAGUUAAGUCUUUUUAAAAAUUUACUCUGAUAUGUUAGCUCAAACCAAACUUGGAUGGGCUAAAUGUGUUAUAUGUUUUUGGAAUUCUAACACCUUGGAAAUUCAGGAAUUGUCCUUGUUCUGGAUAAAGUAAUAGAGAAACAUCUAUGGCAAAAGACAGCAAGUAAGCUGAAGGUAAUUUUUUUAAAAUAUAUAUUUUAUCGUGUUUUAUGAAGGUAAUUUUUAAGGGUGUGUUGCCUGCUAGAAACUCAAGAAGGCAGGGAGAAAAGCAGAGUUCUGCUCUGAGAUCAGUUAGAUACAGCAUUAGGAUUCCGAAAUUGUUCUGAUUUGAAGUCUUAUUCCUGAACUGAGGUGUUACUGGUUUAGGGGCUUUUUUUGCAGAAGGCGAGGGUGUCUGCAGAUACUAACACCCUCUCUCUCUCUCUCUCUCUCUGCUACUUUGGAAAAGCAGAAAUUGUUUCUUCAAAAUGAAGUCAAGCCAUUAGACGUUAGAAGUGUAGACCCCAUCCAUGAUACUUGGGGUUUGAAGACUUCUCUGUGCCAUAGACUUUGUCCCUGAGAAAGCUCCAGAGGAUGGAAUUAUAAAACGUAGCUCACUGUCAUCCAGGAAUUCCUAGUUCAGAGCUAAAAUCCAAUGUCAUUGCUUUUGGCUCCUGUUCCUUACCUGUGAAUUUCUCCAACUCUUUAUUAAAAUUAUAAGCCAAACUGAAUUAUUAUUCUUUAGAAAAGCAACAAUCUUCCUAUGGUAUUUGGCAAUAAGCUGGAAGAAUCUCACUGAAGAAUUAUAAGAUGUCUUCAAGAUUGAAGUGAAUGGCAUCUGUCUUGCUGCUCAAUCAUCGUAAAACCAGUGGCUCUGUAGUUUCAUUAUCCAUCUUAAUUUCAGAUGGAUGACAACCUCAGACCCUGGGAGGAGGCAUCAGUUACUUUGCUUCUUUUCUAAAUUGGAGCAGUCAAAGCAAUCUUAAAAACAAUUUCAACAAUUCAUCCCGUCUUCUCCCCAAAUCUAUUCAAGUUUCAGCCCUGAUUGCUGCAAGAGUAAAUGAAAUAAUUUGUCUACCUCUCAAGAAAUAUUCCAUACAUUACAGUUAGGACAUCUACAUAAUGACAAUGGGCCUGUUUGUGAAAUACCUCAUAUCAGGGGAAACCUAGAAAUAUGCAUCAUUUUAUAGCUUAAUACUCCAUAUUUUCUGUCAUGCAUUUCCUUAAGAAUUGCAGAGGAAUGGAUGUAAUUUAGUUAUUAGUAUAUUCUAGCUCAAUGGUAGUGUGUCUUGCUUUACAUAAUACAAAUGCUGCUAAAAUAAAUUCUUUUACUUUUGGUAAAUUUGGUCUUGA
rnacentral:lncRNA from 13 species